AUGAUACCAGGGUCAAAAGGUCAGAAAGCUGAUGCAAGCUUGCUUGCAAGAGGAUUUUUGACCUUUUGACCCGACAAAAACAUGAGUAAGUAGCCAUUUUUCAAAGAAAAAUGAGCGGAUUACGAAUGUUUAUGAGGAUUGCGAGAGUGCAAAGCACGUAGCAAUCUGGUAUCA
rfam:Human gut metagenome DNA, contig sequence: F1-S_019454.